rnacentral:rRNA from 1 species
AUUGAACGCUGGCGGCAUGCCUUACACAUGCAAGUCGAACGGCAGCACGGGUGCUUGCACCUGGUGGCGAGUGGCGAACGGGUGAGUAAUACAUCGGAACAUGUCCUGUAGUGGGGGAUAGCCCGGCGAAAGCCGGAUUAAUACCGCAUACGAUCUACGGAUGAAAGCGGGGGACCUUCGGGCCUCGCGCUAUAGGGUUGGCCGAUGGCUGAUUAGCUAGUUGGUGGGGUAAAGGCCUACCAAGGCGACGAUCAGUAGCUGGUCUGAGAGGACGACCAGCCACACUGGGACUGAGACACGGCCCAGACCCCGACGGGAGGCAGCAGUGGGGAAUUUUGGACAAUGGGCGAAAGCCUGAUCCAGCAAUGCGGCGUGUGUGAAGAAGGCCCUCGGGUUGUAAAGCACUUUUGUCCGGAAAGAAAUCCUUGGCCCUAAUACGGUCGGGGGAUGACGGUACCGGAAGAAUAAGCACCGGCUAACUACGU